rnacentral:rRNA from 1 species
CCUACGGGAGGCAGCAGUGGGGAAUUUUGGACAAUGGGGGCAACCCUGAUCCAGCAAUGCCGCGUGAGUGAAGAAGGCCUUCGGGUUGUAAAGCUCUUUUGUCAGGGAAGAAACGGUGUUUCCUAAUACGGAAUGCUAAUGACGGUACCUGAAGAAUAAGCACCGGCUAACUACGUGCCAGCAGCCGCGGUAAUACGUAGGGUGCAAGCGUUAAUCGGAAUUACUGGGCGUAAAGCGUGCGCAGGCGGUUUUAUAAGUCUGAUGUGAAAUCCCCGGGCUCAACCUGGGAACUGCAUUGGAGACUGUAAGGCUAGAGUGUGUCAGAGGGGGGUAGAAUUCCACGUGUAGCAGUGAAAUGCGUAGAUAUGUGGAGGAAUACCGAUGGCGAAGGCAGCCCCCUGGGAUAACACUGACGCUCAUGCACGAAAGCGUGGGGAGCAAACAGGAUUAGAUACCCUGGUAGUCCACGCCCUAAACGAUGUCUACUAGUUGUCGGGUCUUAAUUGACUUGGUAACGCAGCUAACGCGUGAAGUAGACCGCCUGGGGAGUACGGUCGCAAGAUUAAAACCNAAAGGAAUUGACCCGGNGUGAGAGNGACGACGACGACGACGAGGGAGGAGG